AGGAUCUGAGGAAGAAGCUGAAGAGAAACAGGACGGUGAAAAACCACUUUUAGAGCUUUGAGCGCCACUUCUGUUAAAUGUGAAGAGCCUCCCUGAGAGUCAUCCCAGGGGAAGACGCCUGGCCAUGGGGACGCCGCUGCUGACUGCACUGGGCAGCUGAGCCAGCACGUGUUUACACGGGACCUCGCGGACAGGGCACCGCGUUCACAUGGCUCGGCCGCCUGCCUGGGGCUGGGGAGAUCGGGACACUGCCCAGUGAGUGACACUGCUCCGCUCUGUCCCAGAGCAGCUGAAGGAACGUCUGUGCUGGGUUCCUCAUUAAGAGACUCAUUAACAUACUGAAAUAACAGUUUUGUAGUAGGCAAAACACUUUUUUUGUUUUAUGUCUCAGAUUUCUUUCGUAUUUCUUUUUUAACACCCUACAUUUCCCUUGUGGUUUUUAACUCAUGCACAUGUGUCGUUUGGACAAUUGUAAAAAGUAAUAAAAUCCAACAUAUCAAAAUGAUUAA